rnacentral:lncRNA from 1 species
CUGUCAAAUUUGUGGACUACCUCUCACAUGUUCAUCAGGUCAUACUGUGUGUAUUUUGCAGGUGAGCUUUCUUCUGCCUUCUUCUUUUGCCCCGAUUUCUUUAACCUCUUCAAAUAAAACUGUGUCUGUUCUUAUAAAGUACAUUAUUUUUAAAGUAAAUUAAAAAUAUAGUACCUGAACACUUGGCAGAUAAUUCUUAAUAAAUAUUUACCUAACUGCAUGAACUCAAAUUUUUAUGAAAGAAUAGGAAAUUAAACAAUAAUUCCACAAAUCAUCAGGUUUCUAUGGAGAGAUGUACAGAGAUUUCAGACCUAGAAAAUAUGGGCACUUAAAACCAGGGGUGUAAGAGGAGGGAAGUGAUGAGUAUGGGAGGAGAAUUUUCUCUUUUCCCACAGUCUUUCUUUCAGCCCCGGCUAUUUAUAUAAAGAUAUUACAGAUAGCUACUUCUUGUCAAAGCUGGGGCUCAGGCAACAGCUCAGUGAGGCUAGGGAAGGUCAAGACCAUAAAGCCACAAAGAAAUAGCCUUAGGGACAAGAGAACUUGUGAGUUUUGUGCAGCGGAUCAGAGUCAGGACGGGAAUUUCUAGAAAUGGGCUAGGAUUCUUCAAUAAAGGCCCACUGCUGUAACAAAUCAUGCUAACAUUUCAGAAGCUUAAUGGAGCAAGAUCUACUUCUCGUUCAUAUUUGUAUACAAGGCACAGAGCUGCUGCUGCUGCUGUGUGUGUGUGUGUGUGUAUUUCACAUUGUAUUAGUUUGUUAGGACUGUUGUAGCAAAGUUCCAUAAAUACCUUGUGGUUUAAAUACCAGGUGGCUUAAACAACAGAAUUUUGGCUUCCCUGUUCUAGAGGCUGGAAGUCUGACAUCAAGGUUAUCAGCAGGGUUGGUUGCCGGUUCCUUCUGAGGGCUGCGAGGCAGAAUCUGCUCCAUACUUCUCUCCUAGCUUCAUGCGUUCCUUGGCUUGUAGACAGACAUCUUCUCUCUGUGUCUUCACUUAAUUUUUGCUCUGUACAUACCUGUCUCUGUAUCUCCCAGUUGAUAUGGGGUCAUUAUAGUGAGCUGUAAUCCAAUAUUAUUGGCUCCCCUUGAAGGGACCCCAUAUCAACUUAAUCAUCUGCAAAAGCCCUAUUUCAAAUAAGUUCACACUCACAGAUAAGGGGCUUAGGAUUUCAACAUCUUUUUGAGGGACACGAUUUAAUCCAUAACACAUAUUAAAUUAUUUCAGGCCAUUUUAAAAUAAAAGAAAACGGGCACAGAGAAGACAACAAUUUUUUUUCUUUUUUUAAAUUUAUUAUACUUUAAGUUCUGGGAUACAUGUGCAGAACGUGCAGGUUUGUUACAUAGGUAUACAUGUGCCAUGGUGGUUUGCUACACCCAUCAACCCAUCAUUUACUUUAGGUAUUUCUCCUAAUGCUACUCCUCCCCUUGUCCCCCAGCGCUCAACAGGACCCAGUGUGUGAUGUUCCCCUCCCUGUGUCCACAUGUUCUCAUUCUUCAACUCCUACUUAUGAGUGAGAACACGUGGUGUUUGGUUUUCUGUUUCUGUGUUAGUUUGCUGAGAAUGAUGGUUUCCAGCUUCAUUCAUGUCCCUGCAAAGGACAUGAACUCAUCAUUUUUUAUGGCUGCAUAGUAUUCCAAGUCUUUGCUAUUGUGAAUAGUGCUGCAAUAAACAUACGUGUACAUGUGUCUUUAUAGUAGAAUGAUUUAUUAUCCUUUUGGUAUAUACCCAGUAAUGGGAUUGCUGGAUCAAAUGAUAUUUCUAGUUCUAGAUCCCUGAGGAAUCACCACACUAUCUUCCACAAUGGUUGAACUAAUUUACACUCCCACCAACAGUGUAAAAGCAUUCCUAUUUCUCUACACCCUCUCCAGCAUCUGUUGUUUUCUGACUUUUCAAUGAUCGCCAUUCUAACUGUCAU